rnacentral:rRNA from 1 species
UACGGGGGGAGCAAGCGUUGUUCGGAUUUACUGGGCGUAAAGGGCGCGUAGGCGGUCAGCACAAGUCAGUUGUGAAAUCUCCGGGCUUAACUCGGAAAGGUCAACUGAUACUGUGCGACUAGAGUGCGGAAGGGGCAACUGGAAUUCUCGGUGUAGCGGUGAAAUGCGUAGAUAUCGAGAGGAACACCUGCGGCGAAGGCGGGUUGCUGGGCCGACACUGACGCUGAGGUGCGAAAGCUAGGGGAGCGAACAGG